rnacentral:rRNA from 1 species
UACGUAGGGACCGAGCGUUGUCCGGAAUCAUUGGGCGUAAAGAGCGUGUAGGCGGCUAUUUAAGUCCUGCGUGAAAUCCUGCGGCUCAACCGCAGACGGUCGUGGGAAACUGGAUGGCUAGAGUGCGGGAGAGGAGAGUGGAAUUCCCGGUGUAGCGGUGAAAUGCGCAGAUAUCGGGAAGAACACCCGUGGCGAAGGCAGCCCCCUGGGUCAAGACUGACGCUCAUGCACGAAAGCGUGGGGAGCAAACAGG